UGACAUUAUAAAAGUGUCCAAGAGAAAAUACCGGAAAUUAUUUUACAGUUCAAAAUUUGCCCACUAGGAGACAUAACUGGAAGGUUAAUAAUGAAAUUCAAUCUUCUCCGGAAAAUGUCAGCUUAAGGUGAAAGUAUGUGUAACAAUAUUGGAAAUGCCGGAAACUAGCUGAUUCUCCUCUAUUCCGGAAUGACACAAGUGGUAUACUGCACGACGUCUCGAAAGUCAGCGAAUCUUUCGGAAUAGUCAGCCGAGUAUAUAAGGAACCACUUCGCCGCUGGGAGUCAAUUGUCAGUUCAGUGCAUAAAUAAUUGUAUAUAAAUAGGGUGAAAAUAAAUAUUUUCAGUACUGAUAACGGAUCAUGAUACACUAUUGUAAGUGUGUAAAUAAAUUAGUUGACUAUUUUUA